AUGAAGAAACCCAUGCAAGUGAAAGUAGCAAAUGGAGGACUGGUGGAUUGCACCAAAUUUGCACCUGAACUGACCUGGUGGAUUCAGGGGCAUAGUUUCUCCAGUGCCAUGCAAGUUCUUCCACUAGGAGGGUAUGAUAUUAUCCUAGGAAUGGACUGGCUGGAGAAAUGGGGUGUGAUGCAGUGCCACUGGGCUGAGAAGUGGAUUCAGUUUGAAUAUCAACAGAAAACUGUCAGAUUGCAAGGAGUUCUGCCUACUAAAACAGAACCAAUUAAGGAAGUUUCUAUGGAACAACUUAAGAAGUGGGAAAAAGGAAAUGACAUAUGGGCAACAGCUAUGUUGCAUCAUAUUGUUGUCAGUCCUCGUUCUGAAAUACCUGAAGAAGUUUAG
rnacentral:rRNA from 1 species